GUCGAGCGAACUGAUUAGAAGCUUGCUUCUAUGACGUUAGCGGCGGACGGGUGAGUAACACGUGGGCAACCUGCCUGUAAGACUGGGAUAACUUCGGGAAACCGAAGCUAAUACCGGAUAACAUCAUUCCUUGCAUAAGGAAUGAUUGAAAGAUGGUUUCGGCUAUCACUUACAGAUGGGCCCGCGGUGCAUUAGCUAGUUGGUGAGGUAACGGCUCACCAAGGCAACGAUGCAUAGCCGACCUGAGAGGGUGAUCGGCCACACUGGGACUGAGACACGGCCCAGACUCCUACGGGAGGCAGCAGUAGGGAAUCUUCCGCAAUGGACGAAAGUCUGACGGAGCAACGCCGCGUGAGUGAUGAAGGCUUUCGGGUCGUAAAACUCUGUUGUUAGGGAAGAACAAGUAUGAGAGUAACUGCUCGUACCUUGACGGUACCUAACCAGAAAGCCACGGCUAACUACGUGCCAGCAGCCGCGGUAAUACGUAGGUGGCAAGCGUUAUCCGGAAUUAUUGGGCGUAAAGCGCGCGCAGGCGGUUUCUUAAGUCUGAUGUGAAAGCCCACGGCUCAACCGUGGAGGGUCAUUGGAAACUGGGGAACUUGAGUGCAGAAGAGAAAAGCGGAAUUCCACGUGUAGCGGUGAAAUGCGUAGAGAUGUGGAGGAACACCAGUGGCGAAGGCGGCUUUUUGGUCUGUAACUGACGCUGAGGCGCGAAAGCGUGAGGAGCAAACAGGAUUAGAUACCCUGGUAGUCCA
rnacentral:rRNA from 1 species